rnacentral:tRNA from 2 species
GCCCUCUUAGCUCAGUAGGAUAGAGCACAGGAUUCCUAAUCCUGGGGUCGUGAGUUCGAAUCUCGCAGAGGGCACCA